CAGGAGAGUAUUUCAGGGCAGUUUAAACCACAGUUUGUUGUGCUUAUUAUUCCUGUUGUUGGAGUGUAUUGUAGCGUUGAGUUGGGCUCACCGGGUACGCUAUUUUGGAUUGCUGUGUUUGCUCUCUCUCUCAUUUGGAUUAUAGACUUACAUUGAUGAAGAUACCGAAGACCUUAUAGGUAGAAGAACUAAACGAAUACUGACCUUGGAUGAAAGAAACGAAGGAAGGAAAGACGCACCAUUGUGAGUAUACGGUUGUGGAAAAGUGGUGUUGGUGGCUGAAAACCACCCUGUCUAUGCAUCUGGGGUCCUAGCAGUGUGAGAUCAACCUUGGAGAACGUGGGACGAAGAAAGUGCAGCAGUUGUGAGUAACGGAGUCUCCUUAUGGAAGUGUUGUGCAUGUAUUUGACCUGUAUAUCUCUUUGAGUGUUUCCGAAAGAGAGUGGGUGGCCCUACCCCUGAACCAGCGCGGUGGGUGAGCCGAAGAGUUUUUGUGCUGAAACAGCUCCGGUGACGAAAACAAACACUAGGCCGAGUUACCAUCUCCAUAUUUUCGUCCAGGGCGAAGUAAAGGAAGACGGGCGUCUAUUUGUGUGCACUGAGCGUGGAGGGUGAGUCUUGGAUAUAGAAAUUUUCACUUGAAGUGGUGCUGUGUAAUGCUGUGUAUUGCAGUGAGAUUGCUGUUGUCUUGUCUGACGUACCCCCGCCUCCAGUCACUCGUUCCUGAGACGACGAAGAGGAAGAACGGUCCUAGAGUAAGACAUGAAUAUGCUGUGAGUGUGUUUCAGUCUUAAAAUCACGGAGCGGCAUCUCGAAGUAUUUUCCCAGCCAAACGCUUGGCGGACUUGAGUUUAGGAGUGGCGGUGAAGAACUGUGCUAUCGGCGGUGUGUGAGUAUUACUUAUAAUAUUGCUACCUUACCUGUGUCUUUUUAUCAUCACAGAGCUUGAGGCGAAGGAGAUCCGUCGGCCCGAGGUCUCGACGAAAGGGCGCCCCGGUCCAGUUUUCGAUUGACCAACGGGUCUCGAGGAAAGGGCAGCGCUCGACCCGGUGUGCCGGCGUGACGUUCUCGCCCCUCUGUAGACCAACGAGCUCGCCGAGAGGGUUUUGGCCCCCGGCGGCACAGAGGAAACCACUGUCCAGUUGACGCAACGUGUAGGCCGCUAUCUUAUCUGUGGAGAGAAAGAGCCAGCGUGAACGCUGAGAUAUCGAAUUGUGAAGAGAGCCAUACCUACCCAAAGCUGUAGUCAGCGCAGAGGUGAGAGAACCAUUGGAAACCGAUUUAUUGUGCCUUUGUGUCCCAGCAGACAUCUGUGGAGAGAGAGAGAGAGAGCCAGCGUGAACGCUGAGACACCGAACUGUGAAGAGAGCCAUACCUACCCAAAGCUGUAGUCAGCGCAGAGUCAUCUGUGGAGAGAGAGAGAGAGAGCCAGCGUGAACACUGAGAUAUCGAACUGUGAAGAGAGCCAUACCUACCCAAAGCUGUAGUCAGCACAGAGUCAUCUGUGGAGAGAGAGAGAGAGAGUCAGCGUGACCGCUGAGAUAUCAAGCCGUUCAGGAAAGCCCAACGUACCAGAAGCUGUAGUCAGCGACGAGGUGAGAGAAACCAUUGGAAACCGAUUCACAGUGCCUUUGUGUCCCAGCAGUCAUCUGUGGAGGAGUAGAGAGAACCAGUGUGAGUGUUAAAGGAACGAGCAAGGAAGGAAACUCAUACUUACCAAAAGCUGCAGUCGGUGAAGAGGUGAGAGAACCCUUUGAGGUCGAUCCACCGUGUCCUCGUGUCCCGGCUGUAGUCUGUGGAGAGAGCGAACAGGGAAGGAGAGUGAGUCGACAAGCAAGGAACUGUGUGAGAUAGGCGGUGAACCGCCUCGAGCUAGCUACAGGUACACGGAUAAGAAAAAGCCCAUACCAACACUGAUUUUGAUUUAUUCUGCCUCCAGGAAGGAAGAGGAGCGCGCCACGGGCAGAGGGAACCAGAGGCGGGAGCCCGUUCCCCGACGCAACCCCCACCCCCUGUCACUCACUUGCUCGUGGCCCCCUGGAGGGCAGAGCCGGACAUUAGUUUUAAUUCCCCUUUCCCCAAUUCCCAGUACCUUUUAAAUAUUUAAAUAAAUAAAGAAUACUUUUUAUACUUACCUGUUCCUCGUUGUUGUUUGGUCAUUGGGUUGGUUUUGGGGACCUCCUCGAGGUGGAAAUUGAGAAGGGGCGUGGCUUAACCACUAGCAGCCAGCCCCUGGCUUGUGACAGAUUUUGGCGUAGUCGGCAGGGCUCCACCUCGAGUUGAGUAACCAGACUAGCCCAAUGACCGACAACGCGGGGCCCGCAGCCCAACCCCGUGCGGUGCCUGUCUUUAUGGGUAGCCCUUGGGUCCAGAAGUAUGGAGGGACAGAGUCGGGAGUACGACUAACGGA